GGUGAUCAGCUGUGUCUGGUAAACAACAACAACAAGAAGAAGUCAGCUAAGUGAAGGAGAAUGGCAGCCAGUAUUCAGCUGUCCCGUGAGGAACUGUGUGAUGGGUUAGACCAGCUCUCGCUCCAGUUGCUGGAACUCAUGGACCACCUCAUUAAGCAGUAGCUGGAACCUAAUCUGCUGUAUAAGCAGGGCCUCUGGCUGUACACCUACAUAAACCUAAGUAAACUGAUUCAGUGAUGUACUGUAGCUGAAUAAUAGAUAUUGUGUACACCUGCAUCAAUUCAUAGUGCACAGGUGAUGUACUGAAGAAGUGAGUAUCAUUUUCCAUGCACAACGUACUACUGCAAAUCCAGCGUUGCAUUUGAGGAGAGACUUUUAAAUGACAUUUGGAAGUUUCAAGGUCUGGACUCCUCUUGCACUAGGUUUAAAUUUACUGAAACAUUAAUAAAAAAAUGCAGACUGUUAUGUACAUUUAAUAAUAUGCUAACUAAACAAAUCGUAUGUUGAAGGGAAGCAUUUCUGAAGGGUAAGCAAUUCUUACCUUGUUUGUUAUGAAUGCAUGACACUGGUUAUAGACAUAUACUGUAUAUAAUGAGAGUAUGUUACAGAUCCCAAAACAAUUAGUAUCAAAAGAUAGUCUCAGACAAAACAGUAUAAAUCCUGACACCACCUCAUUUCUGUUGUGAUUGCUAUUUAUUACUGCUUCAUUGCAAAGUUUGAAUGAAAUUUAUUUUUUAUUUCAAGUGGCAUUUUUGUGAUGUUUAACUAUGAAGGUGAUUAUUUCUCAUCAAUGGGCUGUUGGACCAAUUUUGGCCUAAUAGAGACAUAAUUGUCUUGGUGGAUUUGGGUACUAAAAGUGUUAGCUUCUUAUCUGUCAUAACCCCUCAAAAUUAAGUCUCAUCAGUGAUGCAGUUAUAAAAAUUUUUUAUCUAGAAUGAUAGAGAAUAUUUCUUAUAAAGGUAAUGAUACAGAAAAUGCAAAAUUUGAUGUAAAACUUAUGGAAUUACACAAGUGUGAAGUUGAAGGUUGGGGAAGCAUUGUAUGCAGCUGUGAUUUCUUGCACUGUAGAGGCAUUUUUAGGUCAGUCCAUUCCUCAAACUGACUUGGUUUAUGGACAUUUCACUAUUAUGCCUUUAAUACUAUCAAAUGCCCACAAGAAAUUGCCAAUUCAGCAAUCAGAACUACCCUAUAAAGGACUCAGAUUUUGGUAAUUUGACCAAUAUUAUAUAAAAUUCAGCAAAUUCCAGUUUAAAAACAGUCUAAACAAAUGCUGGAGGCAUUACAAUUUUUGUUAAUCAUGUUCCCAGACCUCUUCUAUAAAAUGCUUUCCCUUUAUUUUGAAUCCAUUAUCAUACAAAAAAUUAAAGUGUGCCUUAUUUCUUGGCUUGUAAAAGAUAUCCGAGAUGGUUGGUCAUGGUUUAGACUGUCCCAAUAACUGAAACAGACUGGGGGACAAGCUUCUGCUCUUCUUAGGAAAAUCACAAAACAUCAAAAAUUUUCACCACUUUGAGGUCUUUCAGUUUUUUUUCCGGUCUUUAACCAAACAAAAUCAAAUCUAUUUCACUAGUGUGUUUUUUUGGUUUAUCAGUUGGUCCCAAGAAACAACUAACAAAACCAUGAAAACUAACCUACUAAAAGAAGCCUCAAGCUUGCUAGUUUAACCCAAACUUGCUAGUUUAACCCUGGAAAUGAGAAGUACAUACAAUGCCUGCACUUUAAAGGAGGGGUUUGGGAUAUUGGCAGUAGGGAGUUCUAAACUGUUGUACCUGAGCACCUCUGCAAAGAGUGAUUAUGUAUGAGGGAUGGUAAAAGUGUUGAAUGAUGAUGAAAGUUUUUUCUUUCUUUUUGGGUCACCCUGCCUCGGUGGGAAACAGCUGACGUGUUGAAAAAAAAAUAUUUGACUGCUGUCUAUAUUAAAUAAAAAGCAACACACCAUGCCAGACACGUCAUACAAGGAGCCAUGUGUGCCUGUUGUGCCUAUAUUUCGUCAUAUGCUACUGCUACUAUGUGUGCAGUAUGGAGAAAGGUGUGAAAAUUAACAGGUAAGUACUUGUGUAAAUUAGCACCAGUACUUGACACUGCUGACACAGAGUUAGCAGAUCCAGUUGCCAUCAAUAAUACCAUAGGAUAUUUUACCUAGGUCUCUCAUGGGCCACACCAGUCACCUGCUUGCUACAAUAUCUUCUUUAAACUUCAACACUUGCACAGAUGAACCAUGUAAUGUUCCAUUUACUGUUCUUGAACUUACAGUACUUCAGUAUUUUUAAAGUGUCAACUUACGGCAGCUAGUCCCAGUGAUGUACAGAAUAUUUCAGAUUGCAUUUCUUGAUAUUAUGUUUUUAUAUCGAUAUUCAAAUCAAUUUCAAAAAUAAAAUCCUUUGUGGAUUUGACUAAGCUUUUGCAUUAUAAAAUUGAGGCAAAAAUUGAAAUAAGGUUGAUUCCCAUGCUGAACUUUCCCAGGCACAUAGAUUGUCUUAGAGAAAAAAGCCUAGCUUGAUGUAAAUGAAGCAGUGUGGAUGAAUGGUCCAGUUUGUGGAGUGGUUCAUUAUUUUAUUCCUUCAGUCCCCUCAAGGGAGGUUCCUUGAUGCUGGUGAGGGGCUCUUGAUCUAGGGAAUUGGAUCUGUGCUCUGGUUCCCAGAAUUGAACCUGAAUACCUUCCAUCCCCCUUUCCCCCCUGCCACAUGCACUGUAUAUAAUCCUAUGGGUUUAGUGCUCCCCA